ensembl:lncRNA
CAAUUUGUCUCCUCGUUACUUCCUCCUACGCCCCUCCAGGCAACUUGCUACCGCGCUUGUGCCUGUUGCUUGCUGGUCCCUGCUGGUGCCCUGCCUUGGUUGGUGAUGCGUGCAGGCUUGUUGAUCGCGUAACAGUCUCGGUGUGGAUUCCAACCGAACGCAAAUCGAAAAAAUGCAGAGGCCCGGCAGACUGGAGGGGGUCCACCACCUGCAGCCCUCACAGAGGCUGAGGAGAUGGCCCUAAGCCAACAGAGUAUGCGUCCUGUGGCUGAGGGCAUCCCUGGGGGGAGCUCCUCUGAUCCCCCCCACCAGGAUAGAAGUGCCUUUACAGUAUAAGAGUUACUGAUGGCGUCAUCGCCCUACUUGAACCAGAUGCCCUCACCAACCUCCAGGCAAUUGUAACAAUUCAAAAGAUGCAAAAGGAUGCUUUGGAGAUCCACAUUUUGGAACAUAAGUUAUAGUCAUGGGCAGCUCCACGUCUAGC